GACAGGUGGUGCAUGGUUGUCGUCAGCUCGUGUCGUGAGAUGUUGGGUUAAGUCCCGCAACGAGCGCAACCCUUAAGCUUAGUUGCCAUCAUUAAGUUGGGCACUCUAAGUUGACUGCCGGUGACAAACCGGAGGAAGGUGGGGAUGACGUCAAAUCAUCAUGCCCCUUAUGAUUUGGGCUACACACGUGCUACAAUGGACAAUACAAAGGGCAGCGAAACCGCGAGGUCAAGCAAAUCCCAUAAAGUUGUUCUCAGUUCGGAUUGUAGUCUGCAACUCGACUACAUGAAGCUGGAAUCGCUAGUAAUCGUAGAUCAGCAUGCUACGGUGAAUACGUUCCCGGGUCUUGUACACACCGCCCGUCACACCACGAGAGUUUGUAACACCCGAAGCCGGUGGAGUAACCUU
rnacentral:rRNA from 1 species